UUCUGUAAGCCGUUGAAGGUGUGUUGUAAAGCAUGCUGGAGGUAUCAGAAGUGCGAAUGCUGACAUGAGUAACGACAAGGGGGGUGAAAAACCUCCCCGCCGGAAGACCAAGGGUUCCUGUCCAACGUUAAUCGGGGCAGGGUAAGUCGACCCCUAAGGCGAGGCUGAAAAGCGUAGUCGAUGGGAAACGGGUUAAUAUUCCCGUACUUCUUACAAUUGCGAUGGGGGGACGGAGAAGGCUAGGUGGGCCUGGCGACGGUUGUCCAGGUUCAAGUGCGUAGGCUGAGUGUUUAGGUAAAUCCGGACACUCUUAAGGCUGAGACACGACGUCGAGCUACUACGGUAGUGAAGUCAUUGAUGCCAUGCUUCCAGGAAAAGCCUCUAAGCUUCAGAUUGUAAGGAAUCGUACCCCAAACCGACACAGGUGGUCGGGUAGAGAAUACCAAGGCGCUUGAGAGAACUCGGGUGAAGGAACUAGGCAAAAUGGUACCGUAACUUCGGGAGAAGGUACGCUCUUGAUGGUGAAGUCCCUUGCGGAUGGAGCUGACGAGAGUCGCAGAUACCAGGUGGCUGCAACUGUUUAUUAAAAACACAGCACUGUGCAAAAUCGUAAGAUGACGUAUACGGUGUGACGCCUGCCCGGUGCCGGAAGGUUAAUUGAUGGGGUUAGCGUAAGCGAAGCUCUUGAUCGAAGCCCCGGUAAACGGCGGCCGUAACUAUAACGGUCCUAAGGUAGCGAAAUUCCUUGUCGGGUAAGUUCCGACCUGCACGAAUGGCGUAAUGAUGGCCACGCUGUCUCCACCCGAGACUCAGUGAAAUUGAAAUCGCUGUGAAGAUGCAGUGUACCCGCGGCUAGACGGAAAGACCCCGUGAACCUUUACUACAGCUUGGCACUGAACAUUGAACCUACAUGUGUAGGAUAGGUGGGAGGCUUUGAAGACGUGACGCCAGUUGCGUUGGAGCCGUCCUUGAAAUACCACCCUUGUAUGUUUGAUGUUCUAACGUUGGCCCCUAAUCGGGGUUGCGGACAGUGCCUGGUGGGUAGUUUGACUGGGGCGGUCUCCUCCCAAAGAGUAACGGAGGAGCACGAAGGUGGGCUAAUCACGGUUGGACAUCGUGAGGUUAGUGCAAUGGCAUAAGCCCGCUUAACUGCGAGAAUGACGGUUCGAGCAGGUGCGAAAGCAGGUCAUAGUGAUCCGGUGGUUCUGAAUGGAAGGGCCAUCGCUCAACGGAUAAAAGGUACUCCGGGGAUAACAGGCUGAUACCGCCCAAGAGUUCAUAUCGACGGCGGUGUUUGGCACCUCGAUGUCGGCUCAUCACAUCCUGGGGCUGAAGUCGGUCCCAAGGGUAUGGCUGUUCGCCAUUUAAAGUGGUACGCGAGCUGGGUUUAGAACGUCGUGAGACAGUUCGGUCCCUAUCUGCCGUGGGCGUUGGAAGAUUGAAGGGGGCUGCUCCUAGUACGAGAGGACCGGAGUGGACGAACCUCUGGUGUUCGGGUUGUGUCGCCAGACGCAUUGCCCGGUAGCUAAGUUCGGAAUCGAUAACCGCUGAAAGCAUCUAAGCGGGAAGCGAGCCCUGAGAUGAGUCUU
rnacentral:rRNA from 1 species